GCACAAGGAAGCACUGGAAGGCUGACAAGGAAUCGUGCUGCUGCAGGGCUGGGGCCAGAGCACCGCAGGGACGCUUCGCUCCAAAUUGCUUCAAGGGACACCAGAUCACAUUUUGGAAGGCAGAUGUUUAGGAAAUGCAUCAUGCAGAUGACUAACAGGUCCCAGAACCACUUACAACUGAGUAUCAGGCACACUGAGGAAAGUCUGCACUGGAUGAUUUUCAACUCAUCUAUUUCUUCCCUUCCACCAAGCAAAGGGAUUGAAAAAGCACUGAUAAACAGAAGAACAGAAAUGGAAAAUAGAACAGAAAAGAUCUGUGCUAGGACACCUCAGGGUCAAUCCUGAAUGUUGUCCCUCUUUAAAUGCUUUCUAAGAAAGCUAUUUUUCAUCCUGCAAAUAAUUAUGAGGACCUGUCAUCCAUCACCUAAAGGAAAUUUCUUCAUUAAAAUCCAUUUGUCGUG